rnacentral:lncRNA from 1 species
CGUUGCUUGGCUGGACCAGCCGGCGAGCCAGGCUCCCGGGCGCCACCUGGUGGCCUUUCUGGUGGCGAGGGGUGCCCGAGGUGCUCACCUCCAGAAUCCAGCCACCACUUUUUGAGGAAGCCCAGGCCACAUGGAGAGGCCACAUGUAGGAGUUCCAGCCCACAGCACCAGCUAAGAUUUCAGCUGCUCCAGCCAGUGUUGACUGCCAGACAAGUGAGUGAAGAAGAUGAUUCCAGCCUUCAGAAUUCCAACUGAGGACCCAGACAUUAAGAAGCAGAGAUAAUGAGGGACUUGCUGGUCCUAAGUGGCGGGCCUCCGGGCCACCAGGAGUUGACGCUCGGAGCCCACGUCCUUGGUGCAGACGCUGACAGGAACUGAGCUGCUGUCCCGUGCCGCCUUGCCCUUCUGUGGUGCUCGCUGCGCUGCAUGGGGACAGAUUUGUUCUUCAGUUCUAAAACAAUCGACAAUUUUGCAAAGAAGAAGAUCUCUCUAUUUUUAAAGAUAUUAUUCCAAUUCGGCAAAAUUUUUCACACGUGAACUAAAAGUUACACUUGAGAAAGACAUCACACCUCGCAGUUCACACUUUGUUUCACCGUUUUAAAUUUUAAACCCAAAGGAAAACUCACCAGGGGCUCCUGGGAGAGGUCAGAACUGAAGAAACUCAAGUUUCUUGUCUGUCUUCACAGCCACUGUCCCCAGAACGUGUAGUUGUACCACAAGGGUGAGGGAUACAAACCGUGUCCAAAGUCAGUUCGGACAACAGUGAACCAUCAGCAAGUGGGCCCGUGCGUGGCGGGGCCCAGCUCCCUAACUGGGAGCAAGCUCUCUGAAUGAGCGUCCAUGUAGAAUGCAAUGCUUAUUAAAGCUUGAGGAAUAACAAUGUGCAAAUUUGGAUUUAUAUAUAUAUACUCUUAAAACUCAACACCAAUUGCAGCAAUUGUCUAAGGAUUAAA